rnacentral:rRNA from 1 species
AACGAACGCUGGCGGCGUGCCUAACACAUGCCAGUCGAACGAGAAAGGGGCUUCGGCUCCGAGUAAAGUGGCGCACGGGUGAGUAACACGUGGGUAACCUGCCUCUAAGAUUGGGAUAACUCGUCGAAAGAUGAGCUAAUACCGAAUAAGACCACAGUUCCCGCGGGAACAGGGGUCAAAGGUAGCCUCUGCUUGCAAGCUAUCACUUAGAGAUGGGCCUGCGCACCAUUAGCUAGUUGGUAGGGUAACGGCCUACCAAGGCAAAGAUGGUUAGCUGGUCCUAGAGGAGUAACAGCCAAACUUGGACCGGGGCACGGGCCAGACUCCUACGGGGAGCAGCAGUGGGGAAUAUUGCGCAAUGGGGGAAAGCUUGACGGAGCAACGCCGCGUGAGUGAUGAAGGCCUUCGGGUCGUAAAGCUCUGUCGGGAGGAACGAAAGCUCCUGAGGUUAACAGCCGCGGGAGGUGACGGUACCUUCAAAGGAAGCACCGGCUAACUCUGUG